AGCUUUGCACAGUGGCAGUAUCAUAGCCAAUGAGGUUUAUCCGAGGCAUGAUUAUUGCUAAUUAAAACAUACUUUAAAAUAACUCACUGAUCAAAGAAGGCACCAUACAGGGAAUGAGAAAAUGCUUAGAAUAAUAUUGAGAACACUAUGUACUG
rfam:Felis catus isolate Cinnamon breed Abyssinian chromosome C1, whole genome shotgun sequence.